rnacentral:snRNA from 1 species
ACACUUACCUGGCAGGGGUGAUACCAUGAUCACAAAGAUGGUUUUCCCAGGGCGAGGCUUAUCCAUUGCACUCCAGGUGGGCUGCCCCAACAAUUUCCCCAAAUGUGGGAACUCGACUGCAUAAUUUGUGGUAGUAGGGGACUGCAUCCAUUCUCACUCGUG